rnacentral:rRNA from 1 species
AGAGUUGAUUAUGGCUCAGGAUGAACGCUAGCGACAGGCUUAACACAUGCAAGGUCGAGGGGCAGCAUAAAAGUAGCAAUACUUGGUGGCGACCGGCGCGACGGGUGAGUAACGCGUAUGCAACCUACCUAUCAGAGGGGAAUAACCCGGCGAAAGUCGGACUAAUACCGCAUAAAACAGGGGCACCGCAUGGUGAUAUUUGUUAAAGAAAUUCGCUGAUAGAUGGGCAUGCGUUCCAUUAGGUAGUUGGUGAGGUAACGGCUCACCAAGCCGACGAUGGAUAGGGAACUGAGAGGUUGGUCCCCCACACUGGUACUGAGACACGGACCAGACUCCUACGGGAGGCAGCAGUGAGGAAUAUUGGUCAAUGGGCGGGAGCCUGAACCAGCCAAGUCGCGUGAAGGAAGAAGGAUCUAUGGUUCGUAAACUUCUUUUGCAGGGGAAUAAAGUGCAGGACGUGUCCUGUUUUGUAUGUACCCUGAGAAUAAGGAUCGGCUAACUCCGUGCCAGCCGCUGC